GAGAGGAAAGCCACACCGCCCCAGCACAGACAGGCGCAGAUGCUGAACUGUGUCUCUGUUUCACUCGCGGUGAUACCAAAAGGCUGGUUGCUGGAAGAGAUGCUGGAGGAGAUGCUAAGACCUUGUUGCUGCUGAGUAAAAAAGGCUGUCCAGUUGUGGAAGUGUGGGUUUGUUCCUUCAUCUGGGCCUUAGGGCUCAAAGGUGACCCAGCUACUGUCCUGCCAUCUGCUGAAGCAUGACCUGAAAAUGAGUGUUACCUGUACUACUGCAGGCAAGAAGCGGAGAGCUCCAGGCUGGGAAGCAUUCACGUCCUUUGUUGGAAUGACUGCUCAUAUAUUUUCUACACUCUGCCAGCCAGAGGGACUGAAGGUAGCUCACUUUAGCCUCACUGCCUCGUGGUGAGGAUGCUAAUCUGGAAGAGAUGGUAACCAUUAUUUUAAAUCUGCUUUGUCUGAACUAAACUACAAUGUCUCUGUUGUGCUAUAAAAGCUCUCACAUUUAAAUUUGUUUUGACCCAAGUUGGGGCCUGUUUUUAGUUUUGUUCCUCCCUAGUUUUUGUCUAGGCAGGAUGUCUGGGAACUCUCUCUCCCCUUUCAUUAAUUGCAAACGUAAUGAUAACAAAACUCUGAGGCAGUGAACACCUCUCACUUGGCUUUGGAGUUUAUUCAUCCCUAA